rnacentral:miRNA from 1 species
GCCCCUUUGGCUGUGGCUCUCAACAUCUCCCCCUCUCUGUUUAAACAACAGGCAUGGUCCCUAAGCCACAUGCUUGUUGUUUAAACAGAGAGGGGGAGAUGUUGAGAGCCACAGCCAAAG